CAACUUCACAGUAAUUUGUUUGACUUUAACAAAGAGGGCAACCUGUCAUUGUUGUGAUUUAAAUGUGGAAGUGCAAGGACUGUGGUGCAACAUUAUAAAAAUUGUAACCCAAAUGAUGCUGAGAGGGAGAUUGAAGAAAGAGUCAUGGGGAUAUAUGUAAUAUUAAGAG